rnacentral:sRNA from 1 species
AUUCUUAGUCACAUAUAUGCCAAGCUUGGACGGAAUAAGAAUAUGAAUUUGAGUGGGCGACCGUAUCGACAUAUUGGUGUCCUUGGAACCUCUAAACUAUAUGUGAUUAGGAACCAAAUCUUUACUUUUACACCCCAGUUCACCGACCAGCAUCACUUCUACCUGGCCCUCGACAAUGAGAUGAUCGUGGAGAUGCUAAGGAUCGAGCUGGCCUACCUGUGCACCUGCUGGAGGAUGACGGGCAGACCCACACUCACCUUCCCCAUCAGUCGCACCAUGCUCAGUAACUCCAGGGAUUUCAGCAGGCUCCCUCCUGCCCCAGGGGUGGUUUGGGCUCUUACAAAUGUUUAAAAUGGCUCCCAUGGCCAGAACUAAGCACUGAAGGGGCUUCUUAGCAGUUUGAUUUCUUAUCUCGGGAAUCUUCUAUGCCAGAAAUAUUUUAAUUAGAUGGUGUUGAUGAAAAUGUUUCAGUGCAUAACAGGGAAAAAAAGUCUGCCCAGAC